GAAAAAGUUUGCAAGAACUGCUAACUCAUGCUCCCACACUUAAAAAUGUGGCUUUUUCAACUUUUAAAGGAUAGCAGUUAUCCGUUGGUCUUAGGAGCCAAAAAAUUGGUGCAACUCCAAAUGUGGCUUUUUCA
rnacentral:tRNA from 1 species